CACUAUACACCUCCACUCUAUAUCUCUCAAUCUAGUAGAAACUAGAAGAUCUAUUUCUACCUUACAUUGAUUGCUAAGCCUAAAAAGAAAUAUUAAUUAGAGAAGAGGUUUUCCUUCGAGGGCACCCCUCAGUCUCUAUGAUAAUUUCUUCAUGUCUUCCAGGGGCCAGGGGGGGCUCGCUUAUAUAGUCCUCCCCUUCUAUGCGUUUUUGGGUCGAUAGCCGAGGUGGUACUAUGUUUUUCUUGAUCCAAUAGGUCGGU
rnacentral:lncRNA from 1 species